rnacentral:rRNA from 1 species
UACGGAGGGUGCGAGCGUUGUCCGGAAUCACUGGGCGUAAAGGGCGCGUAGGCGGCGCGGGUAGUCAACGGUGAAAGCUUGGGGCUCAACCCCGAGUCGGUCGUCGAUACUCCCGUGCUUGAGCACUGUAGAGGCAGGUGGAAUUCCGGGUGUAGCGGUGGAAUGCGUAGAGAUCCGGAAGAACACCGGUGGCGAAGGCGGCCUGCUGGGCAGUAGCUGACGCUGAGGCGCGACAGCGUGGGGAGCAAACAGG